rnacentral:lncRNA from 1 species
CUAUUGUAACUAUGUGUUCUCAUAUUGGGCAAAGUGGGGACUAUAGAAGGACUGAUUGAGGUUGCUUAUUUCCUGGCCUGCUAAUUAUUCUUCUGCAAGAGGGCUUCCUUUUAUGCACCAACCAUCCUGUGGCAGGGGCUGAAGGCAAGUAGGCUUGACUUUGAGACGGGACUCCAGCCAACAAAAGACUUAGCCCCAGCAGGGCCACUGAGACAGACAUCUAUCCCUACAUGGAUGCCAGAGUCUGUCAUGAGUGAUCGAAGGACCCUGGACUACAGGAAGGAUGAACUGUGCUGCAUGCUGCGUUCUUGUACCCUCCCCCAGCCUCUAGGCCAGUGAUUGCACCUUGGCUGUCCAGCACCAACACUAGGACAGCUCUUAACAAUAUUGUUGCCCGAAUCCACUGGAGCCCAUUCAUCGUGCAGGCCUGAGGCCCCUCUGUGAGUUCAGCUGGACAAAGUAGCUGCGGUGCCCCAUGGGAGUAAGCAUGACUGAGCAGAUCUUUAUUUCUCAAGAUCAGAUGUCAUUUGAAGAUAGAAGAAAGUGAUUCUGAAAACCUUUUUCCAAAUAAAACAAGCUUGUGAGAAUUUUGCUGCCAACAAAUCUAUUCCACUAUUCUUGAUUUCAGUUCUUUUACCAGGAAGGAAAGAUUCUGGAUGAAACCCCUCUGAAAGCUGAGUGAGCAGCAUCAUCUCCUUCCACUGGAUCCUGUGGUGGACACAUGUGUAACUCAGUCUGUACCAUCUAGCCCAGUGGAUUUUAUCUUACUUUCUCUGGAAAGUAAAUAUCAUUCUUUUGCUAGGAUUGAGAUACAUCACCAGGAGCAAGAGGUAAACUCCUUUCAGAGCUUUUUCCAGCUAUGAGAGAAGACAGCAAACAGCGACAGGAACUCCUACAAGGAGCAUCCAUGUUUCACCUGCCUCUCUUAAGCAGCCUGAAUUUGGAAAUCUCCAGACCAGAGUGAUACUAGAAAAAGCACAGAACCUGAUAAAUAACAAUGGGUUUGGCCCAAGCCCAAUGGGAGGCCAAUAUGGUGUGUGUUCUGACACAAGAGAGCAGGUCAUUUCUCCAGUGUGUGCUGCAGGAAGCCUGUGUUAAAAGAAGCAGGCCUUAGAAGGUGCUACAGUGCACAACCAUCAGAGUCAGAAAUCUGGGAUCAAAUUCUGGUGACCUAUUGACUAGAAGUGUUAACUUGAACAAGUCAAUGGACCACUCUUGACCUGUUUCCUUGUUUGCAAAAUGAGUAUAAUAAC